UACGUAGGUGGCAAGCGUUGUCCGGAUUUACUGGGCGUAAAGAGCGCGCAGGCGGUCGUUCAAGUCGCGUGUGAAAGCCCCCCGGCUCAACUGGGGAGGGUCACGCGAUACUGAUCGACUCGAAGGCAGGAGAGGGAAAGUGGAAUUCCCCGGUGUAGUGGUGAAAUGCGUAGAUAUCGGGGAGGAACACCAACGGCUGAAGGCAGGUGACUGGACAGUUUAGGUGACGCUGAGCUGCGGAAAGUGUGGGGAGCAAAGCCGGAUUAGAUACCCCGUGUAGCUCCCACUACAGUCCUCUGCG
rnacentral:rRNA from 1 species